rnacentral:rRNA from 1 species
GACGAACGCUGGCGGCGUGCCUAAUACAUGCAAGUCGAACGCAGUGGCGGACGGGUGAGUAACACGUGGGUAACCUACCCAUCAGAGGGGGAUAACACUUGGAAACAGAUGCUAAUACCGGAUACUAAAGGAUGGACCUGCGAUGCAUUAGCUAGUUGGUAAGGUAACGGCUUACCAAGGCGAUGAUGCAUAGCCGAGUUGAGAGACUGAUCGGCCACAUUGGGACUGAGACACGGCCCAAACUCCUACGGGAGGCAGCAGUAGGGAAUCUUCCACAAUGGACGAAAGUCUGAUGGAGCAACGCCGCGUGAGUGAAGAAGGUUUUCGGAUCGUAAAGCUCUGUUGUUGGUGAAGCGGUAAUCAACCAGAAAGUCACGGCUAACUACGUGCCAGCAGCCGCGGUAAUAC